CUCAGGACGAACGCUGGCGGCGUGCCUAAUACAUGCAAGUAGAACGCUGAGGACUGGUGCUUGCACUGGUCUAAGGAGUUGCGAACGGGUGAGUAACGCGUAGGUAACCUACCUCAUAGCGGGGGAUAACUAUUGGAAACGAUAGCUAAUACCGCAUGACAAUAGGGUACACAUGUACCUAAUUUAAAAGGGGCAAAUGCUUCACUAUGAGAUGGACCUGCGUUGUAUUAGCUAGUUGGUAAGGUAACGGCUUACCAAGGCGACGAUACAUAGCCGACCUGAGAGGGUGAUCGGCCACACUGGGACUGAGACACGGCCCAGACUCCUACGGGAGGC
rnacentral:rRNA from 1 species